AGGAAAGUAAGCUAAAUUUUAAGCUAAUAGGUUCAUACCCCAUUUAUAGAGUUAUUUUCUCCUCUCUUUCCUA
rnacentral:tRNA from 1 species